CAGGUGUUGCGACCCCUACUUCACAGAAGAAAGAAGAGGAACUAAGGAGUUAAGUCCCAUGGUCACAAGGUCACAUACUUGGCCAAAGUGGCGUCUUUCCAGACCUACAAUUUCACAAAGAUACCAGGAAUCAGCAGCUCGUCCAGAUCUGGUGGACAGAAGGGAAAAAGACGAAAUCUACAAAAGUAAUAAAUUUGUAUUCUGUGGUCUGAC